CGGCAAGACUGCGAUGAACAAAAGCACGGUGUCUGGCACGGGAUUCUUUUGAGUGCGCGGCAGAGCGGCCCUGCGCAAAAAAACAGGACAAAAAUAGUCGUCAAAAGAAAAAAAAAGAAAAUCGCAUCCACGGCUAGGACGUGCGUGAUUUGGGCGGGCCGCCACGCAGACGGGCGCCAUUGAUGAUGCCGCGCUGCGGCUCGACGGCAGUGUCGCUAAAGGUGAGAUCGGUAUAGUAGAUCGAGCGCUCGGCGUCGCGGUCGCGCGGCCCGCGCACAAUCUCGCACCACCACGAACCGCUGCGUCCGCGCUCGGCGCUGCGCAAGAGCAGGCGGUCGCCCUCGGUCGACGGCACCACGUCGAAUGGGUCCCACCAGAGACCGCGUGUUUCGCACGACAGCACGCGCGCGUCGAGAUCGAUGACGCACCACGCCGCGCUCGCCCGGCUGUCGCCGCCGCGUGCCGUUGCCGGACCUCCUCGUACGCCGUCGUCGUGCGCGAUGGCAAUGGCGCGCGGCACGGCCACCAUCGGUUGCCACAGGGCCGCCAGUUCGUCGAGCAUGGUCAUCGGCGUCGUCAUCGUUGUUGUCGUGGGCAACAUUGUCGCCGCGCCUGAUGCGGUGCGCGCCGGUGUGUCAGUGAGCCCGACGGCUCUGGCGAUGCGCUCCAUGACGGUCGAGAUGGCCUUCAUCGCAGGCACACUGGCGACCUGUUUUUUUUGUGAAUUCAACAGAAAUGCGAAAAACACGAGACAAUAAGACGUCUGUGCAAAAUGUCGG
rnacentral:lncRNA from 1 species